rnacentral:rRNA from 1 species
AUUGAACGCUGGCGGCACGCCUAACACAUGCAAGUCGAGCGGCAGCGAGAAUAGUAGCAAUACUAUUUGUCGGCGAGCGGCGGACGGGUGAGGAACACGUAGGAAUCUGCCCUUUAGCGGGGGACAACCAAGGGAAACUUUGGCUAAUACCGCGUAAUCUCGAGAGAGGAAAGCUGCCCGUAAGGGUGGCGCUGAAGGAGGAGCCUGCGUCCGAUUAGCUAGUUGGUGUGGUAAAAGCUCACCAAGGCGAUGAUCGGUAACUGGUCUGAGAGGACGACCAGUCACACUGGGACUGAGACACGGCCCAGACUCCUACGGGAGGCAGCAGUGGGGAAUAUUGGACAAUGGGGGCAACCCUGAUCCAGCGAUGCCGCGUGGGUGAAGAAGGCCUUCGGGUUGUGAAGCCCUUUAGGUUGGGAAGAAGUUUAUGCGGUGAAUAUCCGCGUAGAUUGACGGUACCGACAGAAUAAGCACCGGCAAACUCUGUGCCAGCCGCCGCGGUAA